rnacentral:rRNA from 1 species
AACGGAGGGGACGAGCGUUACUCAUCAUGACUGGGCGUAAAGGGUUCCUAGGUGGUUUUUUAAGUUUUAGGCGAAAGAAAAAUAUAGUAAGCCUUUAAUACUGAUUAACUAGAGUUUAUUAGAAGAUAGUGGUACUCUCAGUGGAGGGGUGAAAUCCGUAGAUACUGACGGGGACCAUCGGUGGCGAAGGCGGCUAUCUAUAAUAUUCUGACGCUGAAUGACGAAAGCAUAGGGAGCGAACAGG